CUUUCUGUAUGCACACAAUUCCUUAGGAUGAACAAGCAGCCAUAUGUUAUCAUAAUUUCAGAAUUUGUUAUUUGAGGAGAUAGAAGCCAUAUUUGCUCCCAGGUGAUGAAUAAUUAAUAAGAAAUCACACAGGUGUUCUCAGAACAGAGGAUCCUUUCAGUUCAGCUGGUAGGAGUCUGUACUCUGUUCGGAGACGUGAUAAAAAUGUUUGUAAAGAUACUUGUUUUAUAGGAUUGUUUUUUAGAGAACUUCCUUUCUUGUGUGCAAGGAAGAUUAAUCAGGUAUAGCUUAGGAAUGCCUUUAGCAUGCUGUACAACGAGGGUGCUUUAGUCUUCAAAUUGCUAUGGAUUCAGUGCCUUUCUUUGAAAGGUGAAAACUACUCAUCUGGAUCACAAGACGACUUGGGUUUUUGGAACUGGGAUAAUCUUGUGCAGCUGAAGAUGUUUGUGAGGCAAUUUGCUUCAAAAGAUCUGGCUAGAAGUAUGGUCACUGUGUGUCAGGAGCAAAAUAGGGUCACAGCUGGAACCACUGAUGGAGCACCUGGUGAAGGGGCGUAGCCAGCUCUGGGACACAGGUGGAAGCAAUCCCUCCUAAUCUCAUACAAUGGCUGGCAGCUGCAAAGGAAAAAAUCUCUACUUCGAGAUCGUCUCAUUUGGAGUGUUUGGUGGAUCUUGAUCCUUGGAAUGGGUUUAAAAUGAGAAGUGAGAAGAGUGCUUAGGAGGCUGACGCUUUAAGACGCCAAGGAGAGGACUUAAUGUGUGCCUGAUCUUAAAAGGGAGCAAGGAAUGUUUCAUUCUAAGUUUACAUGAGAGAUGAAAAACCCAGCACACUUAAUGAACUGCCACUUCUGGUGACUUUAUAUGUUGCCAUUGUCUUUAUAGUUAUGAUUGUGAAGAGACAACAUAAAUACACUUCUAAUAGUAGCAUUAUUGAUGUGUUCAACUAUCCCCAAAUAAGCUUCCUUUUAUUUCUAUUUACCCCUGGGUUCUAAUGUUUGUAUACUGUUUGUGUACGUUUUUUGUCUUAUGCUUUGGGUUCUUUUUUACUGGUAGUUUGUGUAAGUUAUACUAUAGAACAAAAAAUACUGCUGUACUAUCAAUAUAAGGGUUCUCCUCUGCUGUUUGCAAGGUGUGUUUGGUACAGCAGUAAAGGGGCUGCAGAGAAAAGUGAGGGGAAAGUAAGAUUGACACAGCAAUAAGUUACCAUAUUUUCCCUGAUGUCCAAGAAUAGUCCUGUUAGCAAACUGUUUCUAUGUUGUUACCAGAAGAAAGGUUGCUGGUAAAGAAGCAUUCUGUCAAGCUUGCUAUCAAGAAUUCUGCAGUCAUUGUCUUUGCUGUGCUAUAGAAGUU
ensembl:lncRNA